CGGACGGGUGAGUAACGCGUGGGUAACCUGCCUUACACAGGGGGAUAGCAGUUGGAAACGACUGGUAAUACCGCAUACCUUACAUUAUUCGCAUGUUUGAUGUAAGAAAGAUUUAUCGGUGUAAGAUGGACCCGCGUCUGAUUAGCUAGUUGGUGUGGUAACGGCAUACCAAGGCGACGAUCAGUAGCCGGCCUGAGAGGGUGAACGGCCACAUUGGGACUGAGAUACGGCCCAG
rnacentral:rRNA from 1 species